rnacentral:rRNA from 1 species
GCCCUACGGGGCGCAGCAGUCGGGAAUAUUGCGCAAUGGAGGAAACUCUGACGCAGUGACGCCGCGUAUAGGAAGAAGGUUUUCGGAUUGUAAACUAUUGUCGUGAGGGAAGAAAUUGACAGUACCUCAGGAGGAAGCCCCGGCUAACUACGUGCCAGCAGCCGCGGUAAUACGUAGGGGGCAAGCGUUAUCCGGAUUUACUGGGUGUAAAGGGAGCGUAGACGGCAGCGCAAGUCUGGAGUGAAAUGCCGGGGCCCAACCCCGGAACUGCUUUGGAAACUGUGCGGCUCGAGUGCGGGAGAGGG